CGUCAUCAAAGAAGGGAAAAGAGAAAGUGAACGAAGAUAUCGAUUAAAUUCGAUAAAUAAUGGCUAGGUACGAAAGUAUAAGGACUCAGCAUACAAGCCGAUCCCCAAACUCAAAUUGGUGAAGUUUCUAUCUUUUUGGAAAAUGGCAUUGUACCUAGGAUGUCUUUUGGUCAUUUUGAAAGUAUCUAAGUUGUUAAGUGAUAUUUUGAUAUGUUUUGUAAAUGUUACCAAAACCUUAAGUAUGGUAUGUUUUGAUAUGUUAGUGAAGAGUAAUAAGAGGAAGUGUUGGUAAA